AUGUCACAAUCAUCGUGUCGUACAUGGAUAAAACUUCAUUUUGGGUUGCCCAGUGAGUUCCAAGAUAUAUUUGAUGUAGACUACUUCAUAGCAUCAUUGAGAGGUGUGUGGUUCAAAUUCUUCGUCGGAAUGGACCCUUUUGUGGUUCUCCACUUGUGGUAUAAGAUGGACAUACUUGCCUUCUCUGGGUGUACACAUGGUAGCAGGAAAGAUGAGGCUGAGGAGGGUUAG
rnacentral:rRNA from 1 species